AGCGGCACGGACGCCGCUGGUUCUAUGCAGUAACAAGUUUGCUUGCAAACUUGCAGCUCAAAAAUGUACACGGAUGUACACUUCUGGACAGGU
rnacentral:sRNA from 1 species